rnacentral:rRNA from 1 species
AGAGUUUGAUCCUGGCUCAGGAUGAACGCUGGCGGCGUGCCUAAUACAUGCAAGUCGAGCGAACGGACGAGAAGCUUGCUUCUCUGAUGUUAGCGGCGGACGGGUGAGUAACACGUGGAUAACCUACCUAUAAGACUGGGAUAACUUCGGGAAACCGGAGCUAAUACCGGAUGAUAUUUUGAACCGCAUGGUUCAAAAGUGAAAGACGGUCUUGCUGUCACUUAUAGAUGGAUCCGCGCUGCAUUAGCUAGUUGGUAAGGUAACGGCUUACCAAGGCAACGAUGCAUAGCCGACCUGAGAGGGUGAUCGGCCACACUGGAACUGAGACACGGUCCAGACUCCUACGGGAGGCAGCAGUAGGGAAUCUUCCGCAAUGGGCGAAAGCCUGACGGAGCAACGCCGCGUGAGUGAUGAAGGUCUUCGGAUCGUAAAACUCUGUUAUUAGGGAAGAACAUAUGUGUAAGUAACUGUGCACAUCUUGACGGUACCUAAUCAGAAAGCCACGGCUAACUACGUGCCAGCAGCCGCGGUAAUACGUAGGUGGCAAGCGUUAUCCGGAAUUAUUGGGCGUAAAGCGCGCGUAGGCGGUUUUUUAAGUCUGAUGUGAAAGCCCACGGCUCAACCGUGGAGGGUCAUUGGAAACUGGAAAACUUGAGUGCAGAAGAGGAAAGUGGAAUUCCAUGUGUAGCGGUGAAAUGCGCAGAGAUAUGGAGGAACACCAGUGGCGAAGGCGACUUUCUGGUCUGUAACUGACGCUGAUGUGCGAAAGCGUGGGGAUCAAACAGGAUUAGAUACCCUGGUAGUCCACGCCGUAAACGAUGAGUGCUAAGUGUUAGGGGGUUUCCGCCCCUUAGUGCUGCAGCUAACGCAUUAAGCACUCCGCCUGGGGAGUACGACCGCAAGGUUGAAACUCAAAGGAAUUGACGGGGACCCGCACAAGCGGUGGAGCAUGUGGUUUAAUUCGAAGCAACGCGAAGAACCUUACCAAAUCUUGACAUCCUUUGACAACUCUAGAGAUAGAGCCUUCCCCUUCGGGGGACAAAGUGACAGGUGGUGCAUGGUUGUCGUCAGCUCGUGUCGUGAGAUGUUGGGUUAAGUCCCGCAACGAGCGCAACCCUUAAGCUUAGUUGCCAUCAUUAAGUUGGGCACUCUAAGUUGACUGCCGGUGACAAACCGGAGGAAGGUGGGGAUGACGUCAAAUCAUCAUGCCCCUUAUGAUUUGGGCUACACACGUGCUACAAUGGACAAUACAAAGGGCAGCGAAACCGCGAGGUCAAGCAAAUCCCAUAAAGUUGUUCUCAGUUCGGAUUGUAGUCUGCAACUCGACUACAUGAAGCUGGAAUCGCUAGUAAUCGUAGAUCAGCAUGCUACGGUGAAUACGUUCCCGGGUCUUGUACACACCGCCCGUCACACCACGAGAGUUUGUAACACCCGAAGCCGGUGGAGUAACCUUUUAGGAGAUAGCCGUCGAAGGUGGGACAAAUGAUUGGGGUGAAGUCGUAACAAGGUAGCCGUAUCGGAAGGUGCGGCUGGAUCACCU